rnacentral:rRNA from 1 species
CUACGGGGGGCACCAGUGGGGAAUAUUGCACAAUGGAGGAAACUCUGAUGCAGCAACGCCGCGUGGAGGAUGACACUUUUCGGAGCGUAAACUCCUUUUAUAUAGGAAGAAGAUGACGGUACUAUAUGAAUAAGCGCCGGCUAACUCCGUGCCAGCAGCCGCGGUAAUACGGAGGGCGCAAGCGUUACUCGGAAUCACUGGGCGUAAAGAGCGUGUAGGCGGAUUAAAAAGUCAGAAGUGAAAUCCUAUAGCUUAACUAUAGAACUGCUUCUGAAACUCUUAAUCUAGAAUAUGGGAGAGGUAGAUGGAGUUUCUGGUGUAGGGGUAAAAUCCGUAGAGAUCAGAGGGAAUACCGAUUGCGAAGGCGAUCUACUAGAACAUUAUUGACGCUGAGACGCGAAAGCGUGGGGAGCAAACAGGAUUAGAUACCCUCGUAGUC